rnacentral:rRNA from 1 species
UACAGAGGUCUCAAGCGUUGUUCGGAUUCAUUGGGCGUAAAGGGCGCGUAGGCUGCGGGGCAAGUCGGGUGUGAAAUCUCAGAGCUCAACUCAGAAACUGCACUCGAUACUGCUUUGCUUGAGGACUGGAGAGGAGAUUGGAAUUCACGGUGUAGCAGUGAAAUGCGUAGAUAUCGUGAGGAAGACCAGUGGCGAAGGCGGAUCUCUGGACAGUUCCUGACGCUGAGGCGCGAAGGCCAGGGGAGCAAACGGG